rnacentral:rRNA from 1 species
AGUGAACGCUGGCGGCGUGCCUAAUACAUGCAAGUCGAACGGAGUGGCGCACGGGUGAGUAAUAUAUAGCUAAUCUGCCCCUUGCUGGAGGACAACAGUUAGAAAUGACUGCUAAUACUCCAUAGCAUGGUAUGAGACUAUAUCGUAUCAGCUAGUCGGUGGGGUAACGGCCUACCGAGGCUAUGACGCGUAACUGGUCUGAGAGGAUGAUCUGUCACGUGGGAACUGAGACACGGUCCAAAGUCCUACGGGAGGGGGCAGUAGGGAAGAUUGCGCAAUGGGGAAAACGCUGACGCAGCAACGCCGUGUGGAGGAUGACACUUUUCUGAGCGUAAACUCCUUUUGUUAGGUAAGCGGUACCUAACGGAUAAGCACCGGCUAACUCCGUGCCAGCAGCCGCGGUAAUAC